rnacentral:rRNA from 1 species
AUACUUAGGGUGCAAGCGUUAAUGGGAAUUACUGGGCGUAAAGCGCUCGUAGGCGGCUUGUUAAGUCGGAUGUGAAAUCCCCGGGCUCAACCUGGGAACUGCAUUCGAUACUGGCAGGCUAGAGUAUAGUAGAGGCAAGUGGAAUUCCGGGUGUAGCGGUGAAAUGCGUAGAUAUCCGGAGGAACAUCAGUGGCGAAGGCGACUUGCUGGACUAAUACUGACGCUGAGGAGCGAAAGCGUGGGGAGCAAACGGGAUUAGAAACCCCAGUAGUCC